AAAAAUAUGUCUUUUUUUUUUUUUAAAUAUCUUUAUGGGGCGGGAGCAAUGGCUCAUCAGUUAAUAGCACUUGUUACUUUUGCAGAGGACCCAGGUACAGUUCUCAGCACCCACGGGGCUGUCUGUAACUCUCUUUCCAGGGGUUACCACACCCUCUUCUGGUCUCUGUGGGCACUAGGCACACACAUGGUGCAUAUACACAAAUGCAGGAAUAACACCAAUACACAUUAAAAUAAGUAUUUUUUAAAACAGAUCAUGAAAUAUCUUUAUGAGAUCAGAACUCAAGAAUUCAUGUAUAAUUGCAGUUUUUUCCCUGACAGUACUGGGGAUUGAACCUAGGACGUCAUGCACGCAAAGGCAAGCACUCUACCACUAAGCUACAGCCCUAGCCUCUGUUAUUUACUGUCUUGAGGACAAGUUAAGAAAGUAAUUCCUCCUCCCCCCUCUCUUCCCCCCCCCCACCCUUGUGUAGUGGGGAAGAGGACCAUUAGCAGGGGUCCCAUUUCCUCCUCCUAUCAUGCUGGUCCUGGGGAUUGAGUCCAAGUCUUGGGCACACUUGCCUCCACCCUCCCCUCCCUUCCCCGCCUCGAAACCUCCCCCCUCCCCCAGCCAUCUUAUCAGGGGCCUGGUAUUUCUUUGAUCCUCCAAUCAUUCUGUCCUUGGCCAGUGGGUCCUCCUGUGCUGCUUCUGUGCUCUUUUGACAAAACAGCCUCUGAUCUUUGAUAACUUUCUUGCCUUCUGUUGGCUUGAUCGGGCCCUGAGCUAACCUUUUCUGGGUGUUUUCAGAUAAGAGUGACACCAAGUCAGGCUGAGUGAGCAGUUUACCCUCCGCAUGAGGGAGGACCUCAUUCUGCCAGUUGAAAGCUUGGUAGAACAAAGAGGCUGAGAGUUACCAAAACAGCCAAUUCUUCCGACCAGACCCCUUCAAGAGGAGAUAUCUGCUUCAGGGCUUUUGAUUUUUUGUUUUUUGCCUUGGACUCUGAUUGUAACACUGUCUCUUCCUGUGUCCUAAGCUCACUCUUGUUAGUUUGGACAGGAAGUACAGCAUUUCAUCUACUGGGUCUCAGAUGUAAGACUCGGAAUAGAGUGAUGUGGUUGGCUUUUCAGCUUGUGGGCUUCCCUGCAGCUCCUGGGGCUUGCUGGCUUGCUCAUCACACAGGGCUUGUUUCAGCAGGCCUUGUGCCACACCAGUUAUGCCAAAGUCAGAGUGAUCACUAGUUCCAGAUUAUCAUACCUCUGGGACCUUUUGGUGAACAGACCUAGGAAAUAUACACAUUAUAGCUUUUUAUUUUGAGGCAAGAUGGGAUUGAUCAAAGAGAUAAAAAACUGUAUAGAGAUUUCAUAAACCCCUUGCCUGGCUUCUUAUGCCAGAGUCUUACAUAGAAGAUGAAACCAUGAGAUUAUCACCACAGAGCAGUUCACCUUCCUACUGUUCUGUUGACUGAACUUGAGGGCUUUCUAAGUACGUGGGUUUUUUUUUUUUUUUUUUUUUUUUUGUUGGCUUUUGCUUUUUCCUCAUGUUCUUCUUGUUCUAGCCUAAGUUACCUGUAGUGUCAUGUCUCCUUGGUCCCUCCAGUCUCGCUUUUCCAGCCUGAGAGUUUCUUCCUGACACUGUGGAAAGUGUAGUUUGGUGUCAGCUUUUCUGCCAUGUAAUACGUUACUGAAAAUUUAGCAGCUUGCAGCAACUCAUGUUUGCACACACCUACCGGGGCAGAAACACAGGUGUGCUGAUUCCCCUCCCCGCUGUCUCAUAGGCUGAGCCUCGGCUGGCUGGGGUGUGCUCCCUUCUGAUGAACACACACCCAGCUGACUACGAACCUUUAUGCCCUUUGCAUGGAGGGAGCCAGAGACGGGGAGUGUCCGCUAAGAGUUCGUGUUUUGAAUCCUAUCUUCUUAAAGGUUUUUUUUUAUUUGUAUUUUUAUGUGUAUUUUAUUUUUUAUUUUUAUGGAUUAUUUCCUUUUUAUUGCCAAGUAGUAUUCUGUUGUGUGGAUAUACACAGUAUUCUUGACCCUUCACCUGAUGAGGAAUUUCCAAUACUGGAUAUUAUAAAUAAAUUUGAUGUGGAUAUUUAAAUACAGAUUUUUAAAGAAACAUGUUUCCUUUUUCUGAGACAAGUGCUUAAGAGUGUAUUGUUUGUGUAGUAAUUGUAGGUCAGCCUUUUGACAAACUACUAGGUUGAUUUCCAGAGUGCCUAGCAAUGUAUAGAUGGUGCAGUUUUUCACUAUUUGGUGUCACCAGUAUAUGUGUGUUUGUGUGUGACUCACUCUGUAGACCAGGCUGGCCUUGAACUCAGAGAUUCACCUGUCUCUGUCUCCCAAGCUGGUAUUAAAGGUGUUCACCACUACCUCCUGGCUUUUAACUUGCCUUAAAAAAAAAGAUGUAUUUUUAUUAAUUGUGUGUAGAUUGUGUGAAAGAUAUAUUUUUAUUAAUUAUGUGUAGAUUUUGUCUGCAUGUGGAUAUGUUCAUCUGAACAGGUGCCUCAGGGACUGUGGGUCUCUUGGGUCCGGGUAGUGGGGAGCAUCUGGAACACAUGCUGGGAAGCAGACUCGGGCCAUCCCUCUGCUUCCUAGUCCACACUUCCUGUGGCUAAUAACGUUGAACAGUUUUCAUGUGUUAUUUUUUUGUUUAUAUCUUUACUUCUGAGGUGUCUUAAUGUACAUCCCUGGACUGGAACGCACUAUGAGACGCACUAUGAUGCCAAGCUGUGCGUGGAUGCCUGGUGGCUCUCUUGCCUUGGCCUCCUGGAUUCUGUGCUCUAGGCCUAGACCACCAUGUGCUUCCUAACUCACCAAGGACUGAAGCCUCCAGAUCUUCCCACCAUUUUACAGGAAACAGAAGAGAGGCUAGUCUAGGGAAUUCCUAAGAGAAGAACAAGAAAACGUGGGCUAUCCAAUAGGAAAGUUUUAUGUUAGCUUGACACAAGCUGGUGUCAUUUAGGAAGAGGGAACUCCAACUGAGAAAGUGACCCAGAGUGGUCUGUGGGCAAGCCUGUGCUAUAUUUUCUUGAUCCAUGGUUGAUGUGGGUGGGUCAGUAUCAUCGUGGGCUGGCUGUCCUGAGUUUUAGGGGUAAGCAAGCCGGUGAGCAGCACUCUUCCUUGUCCUCUGCCUCAGCUCCUGCCUCCACGUUCCUGCUGUGACUCGCUUUCAUCAUGGACUAUAACGUGGAACUGUAAGCGGACAUAAACCCUCUCCUUCCCAAGUUGCUUUGGUCAUAUGUUUUAUCACAAUAAAGAAGUCCUAACUU
rnacentral:lncRNA from 1 species